GGGAUAUGAUGAGUGGUCAAUGCUCGCAUUAAAUAUGUGAGAAGGGCGUCCAGGCCCAGCCUGGUUACGACAAUUUGGAUGGUCUCAUCUUAACCAAUCUGAUCCU